AUGGACCAGACACCUAUCCUCUCAGCAGAAGCUUGUGAAAAACUUGGAUUACUGACUGUCAAUGUAGUUCACAAGCUGACAACUACGUCAUCACAAUUUAAGCCAAUGUCCAAGGAACAAAUUCUUGAUGAGUUCAAGGAUGUAUUUGAAGGACUUGCUGCUGCUCUACUUGAACCAAAUAUCAGCACAAAUACCCAUGAAAAGAUCAUGCGUAAGAGACAACUUUCAAAACAGCAGUAUGACAAACACACUAAGGACCUUCCAGAACUACAGAUUGGACAAAACGUUCAAAUGAAGAAACACCCAAAUGAUAAAUACUGGCAGUUUGGAACAUGUACCCAGUCUCUCGGGAACAGGUCAUACCUCUUCGACUUAAAUGGAAAGUCAUACCGCAGAAACAGAAGAGAGAUGCGCCCAACCAAGGAGGCUCAUGAUGCAGAAAGAACAGAUCCUUUACCCUACAAACCGGAGGAUGAUCCACUCAUGAUUACAAAUGAACGUCCCCAUAACGAGAGUGUGAAGCAGCCUAUUGCUCCAGAACCACAAACCGCAUUGGGAUCUUCUAGAGAGACUAUCACAUCUUCCGCAAGUGACAAUAAUUGUGCAGUAAAUGCUUCAACUAAAUUGCGUGGCAGCUCAAGAAAUGCCAGAUUACCAUCAAAGUUCAAGGACUUUAUUAUGACCUAAAAUACAUACAAAAGUGCAGUAUGAACUUUUAAUUGAAAUGUGCGG
rnacentral:sRNA from 1 species